AGAAUCAACGCUGGCGGCGUGCCUAACACAUGCAAGUCGAACGAGAAAGUGGAGCAAUCCAUGAGUAUAGUGGCGACCGGGUGAGUAACACGUGACUAACCUACCCGUUGAGUGGGGGAUAACCUCGGGAAACCGGGGCUAAUACCGCAUAACAUCUUCGGGAUGAGAAGCUGAAGAUCAAAGGAGCAAUUCGCUUUCGGAGGGGGUCGCGGCUGAUUAGCUAGUUGGCGGGUAACGCCACCAAGGCUUUGAUCGGUA
rnacentral:rRNA from 1 species